rnacentral:piRNA from 1 species
UCCUAUGUGCUGGUUCUCUUGAUGCUUAC